GUAAGGGGCCCCGCUAAAGCACAGCGCUAUUAUUUUCUUGUCAGCAAGUGUUUCUCUUUUUUUGCAGAGCAUCAGAGGAUUUGGAUGCCCGCACCACAGGGACAGCAGGACGGAGGAAGCAGGAUGAUGUCAUCGCAUGGCAGUGCUGGAGUUUUCCUGCUCGCUCAAAGGACUUUUUUUUCCUCCGGUUGUGGUAACUGCCUUCGCCCCCGUUUAGCCGAAGCUCGGUACUUAAAUGAUGACCUGAAGAAAUUCCACGGCGGACAGAAGGAACAACAAUCACAACGGAAUCUCAAUUAAAAGCACAGAAAAGGCGCGUUUCAUAAGUAGGAUAAACGUUUGGUUCCAGACUUGGUUGUCCCCCGAGCCAACGCUUCCCCUCUAAUCCCAUUAUGCGUGGAGCUGGAACAGGAAGACAUACCAGGAGCACUUUCCUGCUGGCAUCUUGAUUUCACUGCCACUCUUGCCUACUUAAUAAUAAGCUACUGGAAAAGGUCUGCCAACAGCAACGGGAUGAUGAAAAUAAAGUGCUUAAAGGCAUGUUCUUUAUCUUUCAACUCAAAUAGUCUUCUCCAAUACUCUGUUAUAAAUGCUACUUUCCUUUCUUCACCUGUUUUGCAUGCGACUGAGUGUAUUUUGUUCUGCCGGGCAGGAGAGAUCAACUGGGUCAGCGUCAGCGGCGGAGGAAGGAAGGGCGAGAAUCAACGGCGGGUGAAAGUCAGAAAAAUAGACACAGGAAGAGACACACAUGGAGAAACAAACACACCCGGAGGGGAACGAGAGGGAGCAGAGAACCGGAGGAGUGAACGAGCAGACUCCAGUGUCCCUGGGCGAGGCCUGCAGGAAAUGAUGUUCGGUUUCGGAGAGAUGAGGAUGAGAAAAGCAGCUGUGGGGGGGGUGUCUGCCGCCUCCUCUGGGGGCCAACGCCGCCGAUGCCACCAACACCACGCGGUUGAUGAGCAAAAAGCGCCGUCGGUGAACGGCCGCUGAGGAAACGCUGAUUAGACUGCGGCUCCGGCUCUCUGCGUGUCACUAGUAACGUCUGAUCUGAGCGAUGCAAAAAACAACAGCAACGUGCCAUGAAAGAAUAAAACAUGCAGAGUUACAAAUAACUGAGAUAACAGUGGAAAAAUACAGAUACGCACGCAUUGAUGGCCGGGAUAAUUGUAGUAAUAGACUCACUUAAUCCCAGUUUAAGAGUUUUCAUUUAUCGCGUAACAAAGUAAACAAACACACAGUAGAACGGAGUAAAAACAGGUCUGAGUCGUGCCUGAGAUCAAAAUGUCCAAAGGACGAUUAAGUACACCGUUUAUAGCACGAAGCAGCAACAAAACCACAAAAAGUCCAGACGAAGAGUGGGAAGAACGGAGGGGACGGCCGGGGUCCUUUUCGGCUGAAUAUGAUCCCACGCAGAUGGUGCUGGGACAGAGGCGGGGG
ensembl:lncRNA